GUCGAACGGAACUGUUUUGAAAGAUUUCUUCGGAAUGAAUUUGAUUUAGCUUAGUGGCGGACGGGUGAGUAACGCGUGAGUAACCUGCCUUCAAGAGGGGGAUAACAUUCUGAAAAGAAUGCUAAUACCGCAUGACAUAUCGGAACCACAUGGUUCUGAUAUCAAAGAUUUUAUCGCUUGAAGAUGGACUCGCGUCCGAUUAGUUAGUUGGUGAGGUAACGGCUCACCAAGACCGCGAUCGGUAGCCGGACUGAGAGGUUGAACGGCCACAUUGGGACUGAGACACGGCCCAGACUCCUACGGGAGGCAGCAGUGGGGGAUAUUGCGCAAUGGGGGCAACCCUGACGCAGCAACGCCGCGUGAAGGAUGAAGGUUUUCGGAUUGUAAACUUCUUUUAUUAAGGACGAAAAUUGACGGUACUUAAUGAAUAAGCUCCGGCUAACUACGUGCCAGCAGCCGCGGUAAUACGUAGGGAGCAAGCGUUGUCCGGAUUUACUGGGUGUAAAGGGUGCGUAGGCGGCUUUGCAAGUCAGAUGUGAAAUCUAUGGGCUCAACCCAUAAACUGCAUUUGAAACUGUAGAGCUUGAGUGAAGUAGAGGCAGGCGGAAUUCCUGGUGUAGCGGUGAAAUGCGUAGAGAUGGGGAGGAACACCAGUGGCGAAGGCGGCCUGCUGGGCUUUAACUGACGCUGAGGCACGAAAGCGUGGGUAGCAAACAGGAUUAGAUACCCUGGUAGUCCACGCUGUAAACGAUGAUUACUAGGUGUGGGGGGUCUGACCCCUUCCGUGCCGG
rnacentral:rRNA from 1 species